rnacentral:rRNA from 1 species
AUGGCUCAGGAUGAACGCUGGCGGCGUGCUUAACACAUGCAAGUCGAACGGAGCCUAUCGAGUGCUGCACUGAGAAAGCUAGUGGCGGACGGGUGAGUAACGCGUGGGUAACCUGCCCUGUACCGGGGGAUAACAGUUGGAAACGGCUGCUAAUACCGCAUAAGCCCACAGCACCGGAUGGUGCAGGGGGAAAAAACUCCGGUGGUACAGGAUGGACCCGCGUCUGAUUAGCUAGUUGGUGAGGUAACGGCCCACCAAGGCGACGAUCAGUAGCCGGCCUGAGAGGGUGAACGGCCACAUUGGGACUGAGACACGGCCCAAACUCCUACGGGAGGCAGCAGUGGGGAAUAUUGCACAAUGGGGGAAACCCUGAUGCAGCGACGCCGCGUGAGUGAUGAAGUAUUUCGGUAUGUAAAACUCUAUCAGCAGGGAAGAAAAUGACGGUACCUGACUAAGAAGCACCGGCUAAAUACGUGCCAGCCGCAGC